UGGGGAAUAUUGGACAAUGGGGGGAACCCUGAUCCAGCCAUGCCGCGUGUGUGAAGAAGGCCUUAUGGUUGUAAAGCACUUUAAGCGAGGAGGAGGGUACUGGUAUUAAUACUACCAGGUACUGGACGUUACUCGCAGAAUAAGCACCGGCUAACUCUGUGCCAGCAGCCGCGGUAAUACAGAGGGUGCGAGCGUUAAUCGGAUUUACUGGGCGUAAAGCGUGCGUAGGCGGCUGAUUAAGUCGGAUGUGAAAUCCCUGAGCUUAACUUAGGAAUUGCAUUCGAUACUGGUCAGCUAGAGUAUGGGAGAGGAUGGUAGAAUUCCAGGUGUAGCGAUGAAAUGCGUAGAGAUCUGGAGGAAUACCGAUGGCGAAGGCAGCCAUCUGGCCUAAUACUGACGCUGAGGUACGAAAGCAUGGGGAGCAAACAGG
rnacentral:rRNA from 1 species